UUUUACCGAAAAUAUUUGAUUUUAUUAUUAGUCGUACGAUUAGGUUCUUACACAUAUCGGGUAGAUUUGUUUAAACUAUUUUUAGGUUGUGAUAAAUUAUUCGUAAUUAUUUAUAUCUGUUAUAUGGCUUGCUCAGUUUUAUUAGUUCAACGGCGUAGAUGUCGUUGACCGCCUAAUAUUCUAUUUUCAGUAUUUAUUUUAGUUAAGGGUUAAAAUUACCCGUACCUUGUAAGUGUGUUACAAUUUUUAUUGAAGUGUCUUUUUUGAAUUUAGUUUAGUGGCCAGUUUAUAAUAAUUUUUAGGUUAUGUCUAUGAUUAAAUUAGUAAUCUUAAUAUAAUUCUUGUUUCUCGGGAGUUUCCUGUCUGUUUAUUAAAAACAUUUCCACUUUUUGAGUUUUUGUGGUAGUACCUGCUCUAUGCAUUAUGUAAAUGGCCGCAGUAUCUUGACUGUGCGAAGGUAGCAUAAUUAAUUGCCUUAUAAUUGAAGGCUUGUUUGAAUGGUUUGACAAGGUAAUGUCUAACAUGAUUUAUUUUAUUGAAUUUAAUUCUAGGGGCACAGAAUCCCUUUAGUUUAAUUAGACGGAAAGACCCCGGGAUCUUUGUUUUUUGUCUGGGGCAGAUUGCUGUAUUUCACAUGUGAAUUAGACCCUGAUUGGUGCAUUGGUGUAAGUUACCCCGGGGAUAACAGUGUAAUAGUUUAUUAGAGAUCUUAUCGAAUUUGCUGUUUGCCACCUCGAUGUUGACUUAGAUUUAAGCUUGGGCGCAGUAGUUUGAGCUGUUGGUCUGUUCGACCUUGAUUUAUCUCCAUGAGUUGAGUUAAGACCGGCGUAA
rnacentral:rRNA from 1 species